UGAUCUUUUUCUUCACAAUUUUUCCAAACAUGUUCAUUAUCUUCUAAAUUCAAAACACUCUUAAUGGGUACAUAUUUUUCUUCAUCUUUCCUUUCUUUUUUGUUUCUUAUUAAUAGACAAUAUUUUGUUUCAACUACGUUUUCUACAUCUGUUACAAAUAGGUAACAUAAUUUUCUUAAAAUAAAUCACAAAACAGAUAUGAAAAAACAGUAUAUAGAGAAAAGAAGUACAUAUAUUUUGUUACAUUCUUUGCCGAUAAAAUUUGUUUCCAGUUCUUUUAUAAACUUGGACACCAGACUACUAGAGUAUACUCAAGUGCUAUUUUCAGUUUGAAACUGUAAGAAUAAGGACACAAAGGAAAUGCAUUAAUUUUUUUGAGUUCUUUACUAUAUUGAUAAUCUAAAAUUUGAAACAAUGAUGAUAUAGAGAAAAUGAAGAGUAAUAUGGUGAGCUCGAAGACGAUAGCAUUAUAUGGAGAAGAAAGCAGUUUGAUAAUGGAAAAACAGAUCGAAAAGUGGGAUCAAAAUUCUGAGAAAAAAUAGGAAUUUAGGUAGUUUUAGUUGCUGAAAAAUAGGGGAUGAAAAAAAAACAAUCGAUUACUUUUUAUUUUAAUUUUUAAAAACCAGUGCCAUGUGUUAGAAUUUUGUUGGCCAAAUAACUUGCAAUCUUUUAUAUAUUAAACCACAAGUCACUUCACCAAUCAGAUUAUGACACAUGGAAAAUAAGUUUAAAAAAACAUUAUUCAAAAAAAAUCUAUCCCAAUAUUUCAGCGACAUCUUUUUAUUUUUUUAAAACAACUUCAUUUAUUAUUCUCAUAAUAUUUCAUCCACGUUCUAGGUUAACUGACCAUGAUCUUAAACAGUUUUCUUUCUUAUAUUAGUUUUUCAUCUACAAAUUUACUCUCUCUUUUUUCCUUUAGUUUUUCAGUUUUCUCUAUCUUCUCCAUUAUCAAAUGAGCAAGACAACGGAUCCUUUCAUAUCUCCUAAAUUUCAGUUUGAUCUCGACCAGUGCCUUCAUAUCUACUUUCUUUUUUCUGCACCAAAUGUAAAAUUUUAUCCCUCCUAAGUUCAUCGCAAACAAGUUCUUAGAAUGAUAUGGAUUGUGGCGGUCGAAUUUAAAAUCAAGUCGAGAAGAGAUUGAUACUGGGUUGAUAGCAUACCUCUUGUGGAAUAUAGUGGCAGUAACGUAGCUUGGAUCAAACGAAGAGGUUGCUGUUUUUACCCGAAUGAUCAGACUCAAUUUGUUAUUUCCACUGAUCAUGUUCACUCAUCUGAUUUUGAUGCAAUCAGGUCCCACUAUAUGGUACGUAUAUCAUCUACUUAAUUCUUAACUACUGGAAAAUGUAUCAAAUUCCUUUUUCUCUUCUUCUAAAAUUAAUACUAUCUUAUUCUUUUUGUAUGAUCCAGCUUGAAAUUGUUUUAUGGGUUAAUCAUAGGAAUACGAAGGGACAACAAGGUUGGACAAAUAGAUUUAAGAAAUCAGACCAUGCAUACUAAUAUUUAUACAAGGCAAAAGAAAGACAGCUCAUGUUGCAAUCAAAGAACGUGAAGAUGACAUAUUGGUGUUGUUGUUGGGACGAUAUUGAGGUAAUAUUGUAAAUAAAAGUAUUUUAGUUUAUUACCCCUGUAAAUUGUUAUGAUUUUCUCGAUAUAUAUUAUACAUAUUUUAUGGUUUUAUUAUGCAUAUACACAUUAACACUUGUGUACUCUUAACAUCCAAGAAUAGUAGAGACAACAUAUGUACUGUUAGUAUACUUUAAACCCAAAGUGUAAUAUUAAUAUGUGUUCAUAUUAUAUGUUAAAUUUAUAAAAAUAAAGAUUUUUUUCUCGUACACAGUACGGGGCCGAAAACUAGUUUAAUAUAUAAAAGAAUAUAUUCAAAUAAUAAAAAUUACAACAAAAACCAAAAUAUAAUGUAUAUAAGUAUAAAUACUUUUCACAAAUAACAAUAAAUAUUGCACUGAAAUCAUAUUACGGUAAUUUUAAAAUCAAAAUAUGAAAACAUUAGUAAUUAACCAAAUACAUCUAUCUUCCAUUAAUAUAUAUAUAUAUAUAUAUAUAUUAACUAGAGAAAUUUUCUAGGAUAAUUUUUUUUAAGUUUUUGUCACAAAAAUAGUAUUCAAUGAGAAGAAUGAC